UACGUAGGGGGCGAGCGUUGUCCGGAAUCAUUGGGCGUAAAGCGUGCGUAGGCGGCUGCGCAAGUCGGGUGUGAAACCCCGGGGCUCAACCCCGGAACUGCAUCCGAUACUGCGUGGCUAGAGGUAGGUAGGGGAGAUCGGAAUUCCUGGUGUAGCGGUGAAAUGCGCAGAUAUCAGGAGGAACACCGGUGGCGAAGGCGGAUCUCUGGGCCUUACCUGACGCUCAGGCACGAAAGCUAGGGGAGCGAACAGG
rnacentral:rRNA from 1 species